CCCCCUUUUCUUGCAUUUUGCUUCAGCCUUUAGUUUUUUAAAGUUUUAAAUUGAUACAUUGGAAGUUGGCUUGGAUCAUCAGAUUGGUGAAAUGGUAUUUUACUCAACAUAAAUUGACUAUCGAUUAAUGGUAUACAUGUUAUUCAGGGGUAAAUAGUGGUCUUAAAUGGAUUCCAGUUAGCAGAGGCACUUUUCUAGAUGGCAUUUGUUCUGGCAGUGUUGUUGUGAAAGUGAUUCGUUUCUGGUCGUGUCCUACCUUAAAAGUGAAUGCAGCUUUGAAUCAUUUUUCGUCUGUCUCUUCUUCAAUCCUUAUGGUGAUGUGGUACCUGAUUUGAUGCUGAUUUCACCAACUCCAAUAUCGGUGUUGUAGAUGUUGGUCUUUAUGAACUAUUUGAGGUUCACAGGAAAAUAGACUAAUUUGAACUGAAACACCAGGUAGCUUGGAUGUAGUUCAAGAAAUCAUGGUCAAGGAGAAUGUUCACCUUUGAGUAAUGUUUAAUCACUAGUAUAUCUGCCCGUGCUCUGCACGGUUAGUUUUCCAUGAUAAAUUGUGUAACACAAACAAUACUCUACCCAUAUAUUACAUAUUAUUGAUCAGAAAAUCUGGGCCAUUCAUUCACUUGUGAACACAGUUCAUCGUUCAUUUCACUACAUGAAAACAAUACCACUUCAGCAAAACCUAGAAAUCCUAUUAGGUCUGAUCAUGUAUUAAUACAUCAAUAAUGGCUUCUUUCUCACAGGUAAAAAAAAAGGUCAAUGUAUCUCCUUCCUUUAAUCCAUGUGUUCUGCAAAAGGUUCUCCAACCCUUACCAAAUCUCGCAUAUGUGCGUCGUGGAACACCAAGAAUCUUGCAUUGAACUUCUUUGCCAGUUGGCCCUCUCAAUAGCCAGUUGUAAACUUCACCUUGUCGUAGAUAUUCAUAAACAUGUGCAGGCAAAUUCUGCAAGCAUCAUUACAACCUAUUAGGAACCUUAAUUAGCAUGUUAAAAAGCUUAAGCAAAUUAGUUUUACUAUACCAGCUGACUUGAAGAUACUUGAUUUGGUGAUAGCCUGGAGG